GGUGUCGGUUCUAAUUCUUGUUAUCCAACUCUUUUCCAUGGAAAGCAAGUUGGCUAUUAAAGGUGCCCAAAAAUAGUCCCCCUUUCCUUUAGGGUAGUUUAUUUGUGAGAAUAUAAUUGUGGAUGACAUAAUGAAAGAGGCUAUUGCUUGGUUAAUUGAUGUUGUCCUUGAAAGAGACAUUGGUGGUUGGGUGCAACUGUUGUUUCUUCAUUGUGAAUGAAUUAGAAUUC
rnacentral:misc_RNA from 1 species